CAGCAGCCGCGGUAAUACAGAGGGUGCGAGCGUUAAUCGGAUUUACUGGGCGUAAAGCGUGCGUAGGCGGCUUUUUAAGUCGGAUGUGAAAUCCCUGAGCUUAACUUAGGAAUUGCAUUCGAUACUGGGAAGCUAGAGUAUGGGAGAGGAUGGUAGAAUUCCAGGUGUAGCGGUGAAAUGCGUAGAGAUCUGGAGGAAUACCGAUGGCGAAGGCAGCCAUCUGGCCUAAUACUGACGCUGAGGUACGAAAGCAUGGGGAGCAAACAGGAUUAGAUACCCCAGUAGUCCCUGUCUCUUAUAU
rnacentral:rRNA from 1 species